AGUUCUCAAGUUGGAGUUUCACUAAGUUAUUAGUCUUUUUUUGCUUUGACAUGGAAAUUGUUUCCCUAAGUAUCCCUGAUGUGUGUCCUCUCUUUGAAAAGGAACGUUUGCUAAAGGUGAUUAAAUCAUUAAAUGUUUCUGCACAAUCCUUCAAUUUGAAGCAAAUGAGUCCUUCACUGUGCUUCACAGAAAGCCUUUUACAUAAGAUAGAGCAUCAUGUUAUGGCCGUUUAUAGCUGACUUUAGACAUGAAGAUGGCAAUUUUGAAAACAUUAGAGUGUUCAAAGCAGGCUUGGUCGCCUGGAUACUGCAGCUAGGAAUAAUGGAAUAGGACUCUGGUUCUGUUUUGUGGGUUUUCUCUCUGAGCUGGGGCUAUGAUUAAGAGGGACGGCCAGAGGCAUUCAUAUUACGCUGCUAGAGGUGAAAUUCUUGGACCGGCUGAAGACGGAUGAAAGCAAAAGCAUUUGCCAAGAAUGUUUUCAUUAAUCAAGAACAAAACUCGGAGGCUCGAAAAUGAUCGGAUAUGGUCAUAGUUCCGACCAUAAACGAUGACAACUAGCAAUCCAGCGGUGUUAUUCCCAGCAUCCGGGAAACCAAUGUCUUUGGGU
rnacentral:ncRNA from 1 species